rnacentral:misc_RNA from 1 species
GAUGAAGAACGUAGCGAAAUGCGAUAAGUAGUGUGAAUUGCAGAAUUCAGUGAAUCAUCGAAUCUUUGAACGCACAUUGCGCCCCUUGGUAUCCCGAGGGGCAUGCCUGUUCGAGCGUCAUUUCACCACUCAAGCCUGGCUUGGUGUUGGGCGACGUCCCCUUUGGGGACGCGCCUCGAAACGCUCGGCGGCGUGGCACCGACUUUAAGCGUAGCAGAAUCUUUCGCUUUGGAAGUCGGGGCCCCGUCUGCCGGAAGACCUACUCGCAAGGUUGACCUCGGAUCAGGCAGGGAUACCCGCUGAACUUAAGCAUAUCAUAAGCGGAGGA